rnacentral:rRNA from 1 species
UACGGAGGGGGCAAGCGUUACUCGGAAUUAUUGGGCGUAAAGGGCGCGUAGGCGGUCGUGCGCGUCGGAGGUGAAAUCCCCGGGCUUAACCCGGGAGCUGCCUCCGAUACGGCAUGGCUUGAGUCCGGGAGAGGGGAGCAGAAUUCCCAGUGUAGCGGUGAAAUGCGUAGAUAUUGGGAGGAAUACCAGUGGCGAAGGCGGCUCCCUGGACCGGUACUGACGCUGAGGCGCGAAAGCGUGGGGAGCGAACAGG